AUACGGAGGGUGCAAGCGUUAAUCGGAAUUACUGGGCGUAAAGCGCGCGUAGGCGGUUUAGUCAGUGAGGUGUGAAAGCCCCGGGCUCAACCUGGGAACUGCAUUUGAUACUGCUGAACUAGAGUAUGGUAGAGGAAAGUGGAAUUCCGGGUGUAGCGGUGAAAUGCGUAGAUAUCCGGAGGAACACCAGUGGCGAAGGCGACUUCCUGGACCAAUACUGACGCUGAGGUGCGAAAGCGUGGGUAGCAAACAGGAUUAGAAACCCUAGUAGUCC
rnacentral:rRNA from 1 species